UGGGGAAUAUUGCACAAUGGGCGCAAGCCUGAUGCAGCCAUGCCGCGUGUGUGAAGAAGGCCUUCGGGUUGUAAAGCACUUUCAGCGAGGAGGAAGGGUUCAGUGUUAAUAGCACUGUUCAUUGACGUUACUCGCAGAAGAAGCACCGGCUAACUCCGUGCCAGCAGCCGCGGUAAUACGGAGGGUGCAAGCGUUAAUCGGAAUUACUGGGCGUAAAGCGCACGCAGGCGGUUUGUUAAGUCAGAUGUGAAAUCCCCGCGCUUAACGUGGGAACUGCAUUUGAAACUGGCAAGCUAGAGUCUUGUAGAGGGGGGUAGAAUUCCAGGUGUAGCGGUGAAAUGCGUAGAGAUCUGGAGGAAUACCGGUGGCGAAGGCGGCCCCCUGGACAAAGACUGACGCUCAGGUGCGAAAGCGUGGGGAG
rnacentral:rRNA from 1 species